rnacentral:tRNA from 1 species
GGGGCUUUAGCUCAGUUGGUAGNNUGGUAGAGCGCUGCCUUUGCAAGGCAGAUGUCAGGAGUUCGAGUCUCCUAAGCUCCACAA